CGCCUGGGGAGUACGGCCGCAAGGUUAAAACUCAAAUGAAUUGACGGGGGCCCGCACAAGCGGUGGAGCAUGUGGUUUAAUUCGAUGCAACGCGAAGAACCUUACCUGGUCUUGACAUCCACGGAAGUUUUCAGAGAUGAGAAUGUGCCUUCGGGAACCGUGAGACAGGUGCUGCAUGGCUGUCGUCAGCUCGUGUUGUGAAAUGUUGGGUUAAGUCCCGCAACGAGCGCAACCCUUAUCCUUUGUUGCCAGCGGUCCGGCCGGGAACUCAAAGGAGACUGCCAGUGAUAAACUGGAGGAAGGUGGGGAUGACGUCAAGUCAUCAUGGCCCUUACGACCAGGGCUACACACGUGCUACAAUGGCGCAUACAAAGAGAAGCGACCUCGCGAGAGCAAGCGGACCUCAUAAAGUGCGUCGUAGUCCGGAUUGGAGUCUGCAACUCGACUCCAUGAAGUCGGAAUCGCUAGUAAUCGUGGAUCAGAAUGCCACGGUGAAUACGUUCCCGGGCCUUGUACACACCGCCCGUCACACCAUGGGAGUGGGUUGCAAAAGAAGUAGGUAGCUUAACCUUCGGGAGGG
rnacentral:rRNA from 1 species